UACGGAGGGUGCAAGCGUUAUCCGGAUUCACUGGGUUUAAAGGGUGCGUAGGUGGGUAUGUAAGUCAGUGGUGAAAUCCCCGAGCUUAACUUGGGAACUGCCGUUGAUACUAUAUAUCUUGAAUGCCGUAGAGGUAAGCGGAAUAUGUCAUGUAGCGGUGAAAUGCUUAGAUAUGACAUAGAACACCAAUUGCGAAGGCAGCUUACUAUGCGGUUAUUGACACUGAGGCACGAAAGCGUGGGGAGCAAACGGG
rnacentral:rRNA from 1 species